AGGAGACUUCGGUCUCUGAGUAGAGCGGCGCACGGGUGAGUAACGCGUGGAUGAUCUACCCUUGAGUUCGGGAUAACGGUGCGAAAGCGCCGCUAAUACCGUAUAACAAUCCAUUUCAUCGUGGGUUCAAAGCAGGCCUCUUCAUGAAAGCUUGCGCUUGGGGAUGAGUCCGCGUCCCAUUAGCUUGUUGGCGGGGUAACGGCCCACCAAGGCUACGAUGGGUAGCUGGUCUGAGAGGAUGAUCAGCCACACUGGAACUGAAACACGGUCCAGACUCCUACGGGAGGCAGCAGUGGGGAAUAUUGCGCAAUGGGGGAAACCCUGACGCAGCGACGUCGUGUGAGGGAAGAAGGCCUUCGGGUCGUAAACCUCUGUCAGAAGGGAAGAACAUCCGGGAGUCGAACAGCCUCCCGGCCUGACGGUACCUUCAGAGGAAGCGCCGGCUAACUCCGUGCCAGCAGCCGCGGUAAUACGGAGGGCGCAAGCGUUAAUCGGAAUCACUGGGCGUAAAGCGUGCGUAGGCUGUUUGAUAAGUCAGGCGUGAAAUCCCUCGGCUCAACCGGGGAACUGCGUUUGAUACUGUUGAACU
rnacentral:rRNA from 1 species